UGGGGAAUCUUCCGCAAUGGGCGAAAGCCUGACGGAGCAAUGCCGCGUGAGUGAAGAAGGGAUUCGUUCCGUAAAGCUCUUUGUUUAUGACGAAUGUGCAUGUUGUGAACAAUGACGUGUAAUGACGGUAGUAAACGAAUAAGCCACGGCUAACUACGUGCCAGCAGCCGCGGUAAUACGUAGGUGGCGAGCGUUGUCCGGAAUGAUUGGGCGUAAAGGGUGCGCAGGCGGCAUAUCAAGUCUGAAGUGAAAGGUACGGGCUCAACCUGUACAGGCUUUGGAAACUGGCACGCUAGAGGACAGGAGAGGGCGGUGGAACUCCAUGUGUAGCGGUAAAAUGCGUAGAUAUAUGGAAGAACACCAGUUGCGAAGGCGACCGCCUGGACUGUUGCUGACGCUCAGGCACGAAAGCGUGGGGAGCAAAUAGGAUUAGAUACC
rnacentral:rRNA from 1 species